rnacentral:lncRNA from 1 species
CAUUCAAGUUUGACAGCAGUACAAUCAGUUUUCCAUUCAUCACUGGCCCUGUUUUAACCCUGCUGAAAAAGGGCCUAAUGUACGUGGCAGUGAUGGCAAUUAGGCAGAAAAGUAAUAUUAGAAACAGACAAAAGCCUGAGUCUUUUAGCAUUACAGGUGUUUUUUUUUUUUUUUAGCCCGUUCUAGACAUAAAGGAAUAGGCAGUGUUGUUAAGUUCCCUUCUUCAGUCUUCUCUUAAGCUGAAAGUCCAACGAUUUCAAGAUUCAAUUAAUUAGAGACAUGGAGAGCCAAAGUACAAGAUACCUGUACGGAGAACUUGGGAGGCAUUUUUAUAAGCUCAUUGUCAAGUGAAUGUUAAAGUCCCCAUUCACUGAGAAGCAAAGGGUGAAGAAGUGAGACCCUACAUGGCUUUUUAGUGCAUUGAUGGAGCAGAGACACGUCUAUGAACAACUGCCUAUGCAAACUGAUUACUCGGCAGUAUAAUUUAUCAGUUUGUAUGAGUAAGUGAGUGCUUCUCACUAUGGAUUUAGCUUGCACUUCAAUUUAGAACUAGAAGGAAUAAGUGGAAAUCAGGAGAAAUAUUAAAGACAUUCCAGUGUCACUGAGCAUGCCGAAACCUGAAAACAUGUUCCAUUAUCUUGCUUUGGAUUUAUGGAAAUUCUGAACAGUGAUGUGAGAGUGACUACAGUUUGAAGUAUCUGUUAAAUACAGCAACAUGACAUCACAAGGAUUGUUUUGGAGUCUUCUGGAUAUGAGAACAUUAUAAAAGUAACACUGAGGUAAGCACUCUUUUCAACCCUGUUUUAGGAAGGAGGAAGCUGAAGCCAUGCACUUGGAAGUGGUGGGAUGAUUACUUGAGUCUGGAGCUGUUUGACAUUACAGUCUCUACUUUUAACUACAAUACCAGAUGGCCUCUCAAUUGAUACCCAUUUUUUAAAAAUCUGAGUUAUUGCCUGUAGCAAUACAUAACAACAAUAGCUGCAAGAUUUCUGAGUUAUUCAGAAAGAUUUUUCAUUCUGUUUAUAUCAGAGAUGAGACUAGAGUUUAUCAUUUUUGGUCUU